rnacentral:rRNA from 1 species
UACGAAGGUGGCUAGCGUUGUUCGGAUUUAUUGGGCGUAAAGGGUCCGCAGGCGGUUUGGAAAGUCAGAUGUGAAAUCCCACAGCUUAACUGUGGACACGCAUUUGAAACUUCCAGACUAGAGUGUGAGAGGGGUGAAUGGAAUUUCCAGUGUAGGGGUGAAAUGCGCAGAUAUCGGGAAGAACACCCGUGGCGAAGGCGGUUCUCUGGAACGCAACUGACGCUGAGACGCGAAAGCGUGGGGAGCAAACAGG